GCGCCCUUAGCUCAACUGGAUAGAGCGUGUGGCUACGGACCACAAGGCUGGGGGUUCAAAUCCCUCAGGGCGCACCA
rnacentral:tRNA from 1 species